rnacentral:rRNA from 1 species
CCUACGGGGGGCUGCAGUGGGGAAUAUUGGACAAUGGGCGCAAGCCUGAUCCAGCAAUGCCGCGUGUGUGAAGAAGGCCUUCGGGUUGUAAAGCACUUUUAUCAGGAACGAAAAGCGUUGGAUUAAUACUCUGACGUGCUGACGGUACCUGAGGAAUAAGCACCGGCUAACUUCGUGCCAGCAGCCGCGGUAAUACGAAGGGUGCAAGCGUUAAUCGGAAUUACUGGGCGUAAAGCGUGCGUAGAUGGUUCGCUAAGUCGGAUGUGAAAGCCCCGGGCUCAACCUGGGAACUGCAUCCGAUACUGGCGGACUAGAGUGUGAUAGAGGAUGGCGGAAUUCCCGGUGUAGCGGUGAAAUGCGUAGAGAUCGGGAGGAACAUCCGUGGCGAAGGCGGCCAUCUGGAUCAACACUGACGUUGAGGCACGAAAGCGUGGGGAGCAAACAGGCUUAGAUACCCCAGUAGUC